AAGAUUCUACUUUCAGGGAUCAUUUCUUUAGUCUGGAACUAGAGGAUUGUGUUUCUACAGAGGUUGGUCUGGCUGUCCAUGAUGAUGAAUGAAGAUGUUUCCUUCAGAGCAGGAAGCUGGUGAGAAGAUGAGAAUCUUCUUCACUGAUGAAGACUGUUCAGUGUUUCUGGAUGUGACACUGAAGGAGGAAACAUUGUCUGAGUGGA
rnacentral:snoRNA from 1 species